rnacentral:rRNA from 1 species
AUGAAAGCUCCGGCGAUGAAGGGAUGGGGAUGCGUAACAUUAGGUAGUAGGCGGGGUAACGGCCCACCUAGCCUACGAUGUUUAGGGGUUCUGAGAGGAAGGUCCCCCACACUGGAACUGAGACACGGACCUAGACUCCUACGGGAGGCAGCAGUGAGGAAUAUUGGUCAAUGGGCGGGAGCCUGAACCAGCCAAGUCGCGUGAGGGAAGACGGUCCUAUGGAUUGUAAACCUCUUUUGUCGGGGAGCAAAGAGGCCUCGUGAGGUCAAAAGUGAGAGUACCCGAAGAAAAAGCAUCGGCUAACUCCGUG